rnacentral:rRNA from 1 species
CGUGUAGGCGGUUCGGUAAGUCCGCUGUGAAAGUCGGGGGCUCAACCCUCGAAAGCCGGUGGAUACUGUCGGGCUAGAGUACGGAAGAGGCGAGUGGAAUUCCUGGUGUAGCGGUGAAAUGCGCAGAUAUCAGGAGGAACACCAAUUGCGAAGGCAGCUCGCUGGGACGUAACUGACGCUGAGACGCGAAAGCGUGGGGAGCAAACA